rnacentral:rRNA from 1 species
UACGUAGGGUGCGAGCGUUGUCCGGAAUUAUUGGGCGUAAAGAGCUCGUAGGCGGCUUGUCGCGUCGUUCGUGAAAACCUGCAGCUCAACUGCAGGCUUGCGGGCGAUACGGGCAGGCUAGAGUUCGGUAGGGGAGACUGGAAUUCCUGGUGUAGCGGUGAAAUGCGCAGAUAUCAGGAGGAACACCAAUAGCGAAGGCAGCUCGCUGGGACGUUACUGACACUGAGGCGCGAAAGCGUGGGGAGCGAACAGG